AGAUUAUUAAACCCUAUUUUUAUUGAAAUUAACCAUUAGUUCCUUCAUGUUUCAUAAAUCAAAGUCCUCCGUCGUUAACUUAUUAUGUGUCUUUUUAUUCUUUUACCCUUGAUGCAGUAAAACCCCCCAAUUGAUGGUAAAAAUAGUAAAGUAUUUAAAACAUUGAAAAUUAAUAAUUUUUUUCAACAUUCAAAAUUUUUUUAUGUGUUUUUGAAAUAUAUAGGGAUAAUGAUUAACUUCGGCAACAAUAAAGGAGUUUGAUAAUUUUCUCCAUUGUUAAUGCAAUAAUUAAUUGUUGUUAAUUAGCCACCACUUAUUGGACGCAAGUCAUACCGUCUUAGCAAAUUGAAUGCUAUUCCAAGUAGUAUGCUAUUGGAUUUGAAUUAGUACGCCAAAUGGAUUUGAAUUAGUGCUAAUAUGAUCUUUGUGGUUUGUGCGCCUGUCAAGGAAGAGAUGAACAAGUCUGGUUAAUAAGUACGUAAGGACAUACUGAUAGACCAAAUAAAUAUAGGAGAAGGGAGCUGGCUAAGUUACAGAUUCUGUAACAUACAGAUCCAACUUAGCCAGCUCCUGAUUGGUUAGCUAGCUACCAAACAAAAACAAUUGCAUGCUUUUUCUCCAUAUGCAGGACAGGUGUGGUGCAUGCAUUGGGUGCGUAUGUUACAGCUUCUGUAACAGCAGCCAAUGGGGAGCUUCCACGGGUGGUAGAGGAGAGAGACCGUUUUUAAAUAUAUGCCGUCUUUCAGGACUCAUUAUUACAUCCUUGGACCUGUCUAUGGUACAGAUUCUGACAAACAUCUCCCGUCAUCCCACCAUCCGAUUGGCUAUUGUUUAGUUUCUCACUCCACAUCCAACGGCUGAUGCUGCAGUCUGUAGCUUACAGAUUCUGUAGGCUAGUCAAGUUCUACAUCCCUUGACUAGCUGUCAUUCGGAUUAAAUCAAUUUUCCAAGUUUCCAACAGCCAGCGGUUUGCAAAAGAAGGCAUCUAGUUAUUGACGGUAGGCGAAAGAAAAGUCAUUACCAACAAUUGCGUACAUGGAUUGUUUUAUUUUAAUUAAGAUUUUCAAUUUAAGAUUUGAGAAUGUAGUUGCGUUAAAUAUUUAUUGAGAGAGUUUUGCAGCCCUAAUGAUCAUACUUGAUUUGAAUAUAAAUUAGUCAGGGUUCAAUAUAAUAUUCGAAUACUAAAUUCUUUAAUAUACCGAAAAAAAGAAACGAAAAAUCAUUCACAACAAUAGAUACACAUAAAUAAUGAUUGCGGGUGUGGGCAUUAAGAUGACAGUAACCAUGCAAUAACUAGGCUUC
rnacentral:lncRNA from 1 species